rnacentral:rRNA from 1 species
CCUACGGGAGGCAGCAGUGAGGAAUAUUGGUCAAUGGACGAGAGUCUGAACCAGCCAAGUAGCGUGAAGGAUGACUGCCCUAUGGGUUGUAAACUUCUUUUAUAUGGGAAUAGAAUGUUCCACGUGUGGGAUUUUGUAUGUACCAUAUGAAUAAGGAUCGGCUAAUUCCGUGCCAGCAGCCGCGGUAAUACGGAGGAUCCGAGCGUUAUCCGGAUUUAUUGGGUUUAAAGGGAGCGUAGGUGGAUUGUUAAGUCAGUUGUGAAAGUUUGCGGCUCAACCGUAAAAGUGCAGUUGAAACUGGCAGUCUUGAGUACAGUAGAGGUGGGCGGAAUUCGUGGUGUAGCGGUGAAAUGCUUAGAUAUCACGAAGAACUCCGAUUGCGAAGGCAGUUCACUGGACUGUAACUGACACUGAGGCUCGAAAGUGUGGGUAUCAAACAGGAUUAGAUACCCCAGUAGUC